GGAAUCGCCCCCGGCGCCAUUUGCUCCUUCAGAGCGCGGUGGGGCCGGACGCGGCCGGUCCGGGCUCCCCCGGCGGGGCCCAGGCUGGUUGUGCCGCCUCCAGCUCACCGACUGAUGCCGCUCAUGGCUCCAGGCGCUCCUGAGGCACGGGAACACCCACAGCUCUGCUCGGCCGGAUGGAACUGAAGGGCUGGAAGAUCCCCAGGCCUGAGCAGUCACCAGCAGGUGACGAUCCAGGUAUUCGUCCCCUUGUCCUGAGCUCGGGAUGAGGUAGCUCCCAGCUGCCGCUGCCAGGAAGGAGCAGCUCCCCAAGGACGACUGUGCUCCCGUGCAAUGCCGGCUGCCCUGCCUCUCUUAGGGAAAGCGGCUGCUCUGGAAGAGGAACUCAAAUCCCAGCAGUCGGGGCUCGGCAGCAGCCAGCGAGCCCCUUGCACUGCGCAGUGCCAGAGGGCCGUGCCCCGAGCCCGGGAGCCACAUCGGGCGCAGGGACUCGGUGACGUGGGGUCCCUGCCCAGGCUCUGCCAGGAGGAGGAGAUGGACGGGAGUGCCCGGGUGGAGCCUGGCACCGGCGGCCAGCGGGGCCCUUCCUGAGGGGAGAACUUGCUCUGUGUUCCGUGAGCAGGAUUAAGAGCUGGCCAGAAGCAUUUAAUAUUCAUUUUAUAGACUAUCACAUGAACUGAUACCAGUGUGCAUUAUGCAAAAUAGCCACAAUCUCUGCAGGCUUCAGAACAAAGAUAAACAACGUUGCUUUCCUUUCCUUCUUUUAGGCAAUUAUAUAUAGGUAAGAUUAAUAAUGCCUGAUGACAUUUUCUUCCUUAAAACUCUGCCCAAGACCAUGCUACUAACUAGGUUUCAAAAGCAGAAAGAGAUGAAAGUGAUAAAUUAAACCUGAUGCUCAA